rnacentral:rRNA from 1 species
AACGCGAAGAACCUUACCUAGAUUUGACAUCCUCUGAAUACUGCAGAAAUGUAGUCGGCUCGCAAGAGACAGAGAGACAGGUGCUGCAUGGCUGUCGUCAGCUCGUGUUGUGAAAUGUUGGGUUAAGUCCCGCAACGAGCGCAACCCCUGCCUUUGGUUGCCAUCAUUCAGUUGGGCACUCCAGAGGGACUGCCGUCGUUAAGACGGAGGAAGGUGGGGAUGACGUCAAGUCCUCAUGGCCUUUAUAUCUAGGGCGACACACGUGAUACAAUGGUAGGUACAAAGGGUAGCGAAGUGGUAACACGAAGCCAAUCUCAAAAAGCCUAUCUCAGUUCGGAUUGGAGUCUGCAACUCGACUCCAUGAAGCUGGAAUCGCUAGUAAUCGCGGAUCAGCACGCCGCGGUGAAUACGUUCCCGGGCCUUGUACACACCGUACGUC